rnacentral:rRNA from 1 species
AUUGAACGCUGGCGGCAGGCCUAACACAUGCAAGUCGAGCGAGCGGCGGACGGGUGCGUAAUGUCUGGGAAACUGCCUGAUGGCGGGGGAUAACUACUGGAAACGGUAGCUAAUACCGCAUACCAUCAGAUGUGCCCAGAUGGGAUUAGCUAGCGGGUGGGGUAACGGCUCACCUAGGCGACGAUCCCUAGCUGGUCUGAGAGGAUGACCAGCCACACUGGAACUGAGACACGGUCCAGACUCCUACGGGAGGCAGCAGUGGGGAAGAUUGCACAAUGGGCGAAAGCCUGAUGCAGCCAUGCCGCGUGUGUGAAGAAGGCCUUCGGAUUGUAAAGCACUUUCAGCGGGGAGGCGUUACCUACAGAAGAAGCACCGGCUAACUCCGUGCCAGCAGCCGCGGUAAUUC